ACGAGCAGGUGCAGGUGGAGGCCCUGCCAGUGCCGGAGGCAGCGGCCCCUCCGCGGUGGAGACCCCACCUGGUUGGAAGCUGGUGGAGAGCCCGAAGGACUCGGCAACCGCGGGUUCCCCCAGGAGAGGUGCAGCCCUUCCUUAGGUCGUGGAGCGCCCCACGCUCUGCUUCUACCCUCAGGCUCAAGCACAAAAGGAAAUACGGUCUGCUUCUCGAAGGAGGAAUUUAAAGGGCCCGGUGAGGGUCACGAGGACCCAGAUGUGGGUUGGUUUGAAAAGGCAGGAGCAGACAGACAGAAAGAAAUUGAAACUGUGGCAGCAACUGGGACCGGAGCGGCGGUUCCGGCUGCUGAGGACGAAGCAGAGGGUAGAGAUACAGGCCUGUGUGUCUGCAAGACUUUCCGCAGGAGAGGCUGGAGAAGGUUCCAUGAAAACCUACGGGUGCCCCAAGCUAUUUGAGGAGAAGAUAUGGAGCAUCCCUCGGAGACCCUUUACGUAGGAGUGUACCUGACACACGUGAAAGUGGUUGUGUGCCGUUGCCAGGUGGCAUGGGAUACAUGCUGGAAAAGGCGGAUACACUCAGGAUACAACCCAGAGAGGAAAUGAUGGCCUGCAUUUUCAAACCAAAUGCAUCCUAGCAAGCAUUGCUUUUAACAACUAAGGGUUGACAGUCCAUGAGACUGGGAUAUCCAUUGUCCUUGGAAAAGAAUACGUGAGAGCAGGAGCAGAUACGACACUUCACAGGCAAGAGCAGCCUGGCAUGGAGACAAGUCAGCUCGCGCAGGCAGCCCCUUGUACUUUUCCUGCUUUGACAGGAGCCGCAGCCA